UUAUAAGUUGUAGAACAACCUUUCACCUUCAUCUGACCCCAUGAAAGGGAAGCGAUUUCAGGGGAAGACAUUGCCAAAUUGAAAAGGUCUGAAAUAAACAACAUUAUCUACAUAGCACCAUAACAUGUAUGGCGCUUAUCAGAAAAAUAAGUGUUCAUGCCCUGAGGAGCUUGGAAUUUCCUGAGUGGAGUGGGCUGAAAACAACCAGUUUUCUAUUGAAAUGCUAUCUCUGCACUGAAGAGAGCUCUGUUCAUUCUAUUCCAACUGAUGUGAAGAGUGGACUCUCUUUAUAAGUCUAUCCAGAUUUCCACUCAGAGAAAUAUUUUCCCAUCCUGAAGUUGUGUUAAAUUGUUCAAAUUCAACAGCAAGGAGGCCUGGUAUUGCUGAUUAAUGAGAGAGUCCUCACAAAAGAGCAAUCUCUGGAUUAACAGAUUUUCAGUCCUCUUGGAAAAUCUUAAGGAAAAACCUGCUAACAUUUGCACAAAGGCUCAAAUAACAUUACAGUAACCUUGCAAUGCAACCCCUCUCCCCCCCUUACACACGCCAAGGGGAACUAUGGUACCAGACAGACAGUAGAUACUCUUCUUUGACUGCCAAGAAUGAAUUUGAGUUUGCUGCCUCAAAUGUCACAUCAAGAACAAACAGCACUACUACUUGGGACUCAGCAAAGGCUUUAGACUGCCUCAGCACUUAUGCUUAUAGCACGAUAAUAGGACAACUUUUUUUGUUGCCUCCUUCCGAAGCUAAGGACAAAGUGCCUGAUAACCUUGUGCGCAGGGGAUGUCCCCUGCGCAAGACUACAGCUCUACCAGCUUUGUGUUCUUUCGGUUCUCUCAGUACAUGUCUGCAAUCAAUGCCAUGGAGCCAAUUUCCCUUCACGUGGAGACUCAAAUCUUCAUUUCUGAGAGGUAUGUGAAGCGAGGCAGCAACAGAAGGAAAAAGGAAGAACAAGGGCAAGUCUCAAGACAAAGGAGAUCAGUCACUCUCCUCUGUUCACCCACUCAGACCAAAGAGCAGAACAUGUAGAAGUUAGCUCUGAACAGGAGAGUUUCUGCAUGAAAUAUUUGUGACGGUUUACUAAGAAACAAGUAUUAUGGAUUUCAGAGUAGCAGCCGUGUUAGUCUGUAUCCGCAAAAAGAACAGGAGUACUUGUGGCACC